UAGGGGUAAUUUACAAUGAUUAGUUAACAAUGAUCAGAUCACAUGCCUUUAUAAGGACACUGGAGCACACGUUCACAGUGAGAACUCCAGGCAAGCAAAUCCAGAAAUGAAGAUUGAACUUUGAUAGCAAGAGCGAUAAGAUGGCAGCUUUACUAGCUGUGCCACUGUGCCAUCUGCAAGGACUUUCAAUUUUGAGUUUAGAAGAUGUGAUUUGUUAUUGGUGAAAGUGAAGAUCUGAUUCCAAACAACUCAUCAUCCUGGGCAACCUUGCAAAUGGAUCUACCAAAUACUUCUUUUAACCUUUUGGUCAUAGGAGCACAUUGACAGGAUGAAGAACCUUUGUUCUUCUGCAGCCUUUGAUUUUGCAGGAUUGCAUAGUUUCAAGAACACCAAAACAAGCUGGAGCCUUUGUAAAGUAUCUCUGAGGAUCUAUCCUGGGCCCAACAUAUUGAUGCAAUUACAAAGAAGGCACAACAGCAGCUAUAUUUCACUAGGAGUCUGAGGAGAUUUGGUAUGCCACCAAAGACACUGGCAGAUUUCUGCAGCGGUAUCAAGGAGAGCAUUCUAACUGGCUGCCUCACGGUCUGGAAUGGAACAGCCACUGCAUGGGAUUGGUAAAAGUUGCAGGAAGUUGUAAGCUCAGACAGCUCCUCAGCUUCAGGACACCUUCAAAAGGUGAUGCCUCAGGAAGGCUGUGUCCAUUGUUAGGUACCCCCAUCACCAAAGACAUGCCCUCUUCUCAUUGCUACCAUCAAGAAAGAGGUACAGAAGCCUGUAAACACACGUAUGUUUCAGCAACAGCUUCUUCCUAUCUGCUAUCAGACUUCUGCAUAAUCACUGAACCCAUGGGCUCUCAGUAACCCUCAGUAAUUUUUUUCUCUUUCUUGUUACACUACUUGCUUAAUUUAAUUUUCUUAUACCUAUUUCUUAUUGUAACUUAAAGAUUUUAAUACACAUUGUAACAUACUGCUGCCACAAAACAACAAAUUUCAUACAACAUACUGUAUUCCAGUGAUAUUAAGCCUGAUUCUGAUGAAGUACUCACAUUUUAGAUUGCAUUAAGUGGAGCGCAUGGCCUUGAGUUUUCUUAGCACUGGAAAAUUAACAGAUUAACAUUUAACAGAUUACUUUACCGGGCCAAUGCAUGUUAUACUGCAUUUCUGGUUUGCCACUCCAGAAUUCUAUUGCAUGUGAAGUUGAAGACAGAGAGGGCCAUGGAUUAUAAGACCAUAAGAUCCAGGAGCUGAAUUAAGCCAUUUGACCCAUCGAGUCUGCUCCGCCAUUUCAUCAUGGCUGAUCCAUUUUCUUCUCAACCCCAUUCUCCUGCCUUCUCCCCAUAACCUUUCACGCCCUGACUAAUCAACAACCUAACAAACUUCACCUCAAAUACAGCCUGGCCUCCACAGCCACCCGUGGCAACCAACUCCACAGAUGCACCAGCCUCUGGCUAAACAAAUUUAUCCUCAUCUUUGUUCUAAUUCCUUACAUUAAAAAUCCUUCCAUUCUGAGGCUAUGCACUCCAGUCUUAGUCUCCCUCACUAUUGAAAACAUCCUCUGCACGGCCACCUUAUUUAGGCUUUUCAAUGUUCAGUAUGUUUGGAGAUAAGAGGGCGUAUAGAAGCAAGGUACACCAGCUAGUUGAGUGGUGUCACAGCAACAACCUUGUACUCAGUAUCAGUAAGACCAAAGAACUGAUUGUGGAUUUCAGAAAGGGUAGGACAAGGGAACACAAACUAAUCCUGAUAGAGGGAUCAGAAGUGGAGAGAGUGAGCAAUUUCAAGUUCCUGGGUGUCAAGAUCUAACCUGGUCCCAACAUAUUGAUGCAGCUAUAAAGUUGGCAAGACAGCGACUAUAUUUCAUUAGGAGUUUGAGAAGAUUUAGCUUCUCUCCUAAAACACUCAAACUUCUACAGAUGUACCAUGGAGAGCAUUCGGACAGGCUGCAGCAAUGUCUGGUAUGGGGGUAGGGUAGGGCUAUUGCACAGAAUUGAAAGAAACUACAGAAAGUUGUAAAAUUAGUCAGCUCCAUUUUGGGUACUAGCCUCUGUAGUAUGGAAGACAUCUUCAAGGAGUGGUGCUUCAGAAAGGCGGCGUCCAUUGAUAAGCAGCCCCAUCACCCAGGCCAUUUCCUCUUCUCAUUCUUACCAUCAGGAAGGAGGUAUAAAAGACUAAAGGAAUGCAUUCAGUGAUUCAAAACCAACUUCCUCCCCUCUGCCAUUUGAUUUGUAAAUGGACAUUGAACCCAUAAACGCUACCUAACUUUAAAAAAAUGUAUUUCUUUCUUGCACUAUUUUUAAUUUAACUAUUAAAUAUACAAAUAUAUUUACUAUGGUGGCACAAGCACCAGAAUUUGAAGCAAAUGGUCCUGAGUUUAAGUUUGGCCAGCUCCCUGGAGGCUUUCCAUCCGUGCUGGGUUGAGCAUUGAGCUAGCAACUCAGCCUUGUAAAAAAACAGUCAAAUGCUACGGAAAUGGCAAAAAUGGCACCUGUUGUGUCACAACAAUAUACUUACUGUAUCUGAUUUACUUACUGAAGUAUUUUUUUCAAUAUUAUCAUGUGUUUGCAUUGUUCUGCUGCCAGUAAGUUAACAAAGUUCAUGACUUUUGCCGGUGAUAUUAAAUCUGAUUCUGAUUCAAUGAGGAUCCCCACCCCCAUUUUUCGAAACUCCAGCGAGUACAGACCCAGAGCCAUCAGGCACUUUUUAUAUGUUAACCCUUUCAUUCCCAUGAUCAUUCUUGUGACCCUCCUCUGGACCCUCUCCAACAGCACAUGCUUUAUCAGAUACGAGGCCCAAAACUGUUCACGAUACUUCAAAUGUGGUCUGACCAAUGCCUUAUAAAGCCGCAGAAUUAUGUUCUCGUUUUUCUAAUCUAGAAAGAAAUGAAUUCCAUUUGCCUUCCUUACUACUGACUCAAUCUGCAUUUUAACUUUCGGGGAAUCCUCCCAAGUCCCUUUGCACCUCUGAUUUCUGAAUUUGCUCCCUUUUUAGAAAUCUGUCUAUACCUUUAUUCCUGCUUCCAACAUGCAUGGCCAUACACUUCCCUACACUGUAUCCCAUCUGCUACUUCGUUGCCCGUCCUCCUGAUCUGUCUGAGCCUGGUGAGGGAAAUGUCCUUGACAAAAAGGAAAUAUAUUUGGUAUAGUUCAGAGUACAGAAUUCCAUAACCUUGGAAUUGCCCUGGUGUUUAAAGCAUAUUAGCUUCUCCAUUUGCCAUCUGCCAGCCAUGCAUUUGUGAUUGACUUACUCCAAUCAAACUGCAUAAAACUGAGUGCCACUAUGUAUGUUCUAUGUAUUGGAACAUUGUAUUUGCAGUGAACCAUGAACUAAUUCCCCAUUUUUAUUGGAAAUGGAAUAGAAUUGAAACAUAAAACUGCACAGGAACAUGUCCUUCUGUCUGUGCCGGACAUGAUGCCAAAUUAAACUAAAUCACUUCUACCUAUACAUGUUCCAUGCCACCUAUCAUUCACCAUGUAAACACAAAACCUUGCCCUGCAAAUCGUCUUUAAGCAAUGCCCCUCUCACUGUAAAUGCACGUCCUCUGAAAUUUGACAUUUCUAUCUUGGGAGAAAGAUUCUGACCCAUGCCUCACAAUUUUAUGAACUUCUGAAAGGUCUCCCCUCAGCUGCUGAUGAAUCAGAGAAAACAACCCAAGUUUGUUCAACCUCUCCUUAUAGCACGUGCCCUCUAAUCCAGGCAACAUCCUGGUAAACCUCUUCUGCACCGUCUAACUUUAGUAACUUGAACCUCACUAACUUUAAAUUCCCAGGUGUCACUAUCUCAGAGAACCUGUCCUGGACCUGCCAUAUAAAUAUUACAGUCAGCCCUCCUAUCCGUGGGGGAUUGAUUCUGGGACCCCCCCGUGGAUACCAAAAAACGCGGAUGCUCGUCCCUUAUUUAACCUGGCUCAAUGCGGUGGUCUUUAGGACCCAGCGGAACCCCAGACCUUAUUUAACCCGUCUCAGUGCGGUGGACUUUAGGACCUGGUGCAGCUCUAAAUCCGCAGGGUUUCUGUUCACGAAAAUAAUCAUGAUCACUAUUGAAAAUAAAGUGGAAGUAAUAAAGUGAUCGGAAAGAGGUGAAAUGCCAUCGGUCAUUGGAAAAGUGUUAGACUACAGUCGGUCAAUGAUUGGAACAAUUUUAAUGGAGCAUUUGAAAGGCCCUGCCCUGAUGAAAGCUACAAUUAUUUCUAAGCAAUACAGUGGUUUAAUUAUUGAAAUACAUAUGUUUCUUAAGUGUUUUAUAUGCAUAGAAAGGUCAAAUAUAUACUAUAUACUAAGACAAACGUUUUACUAACUGAGGCUACAUAAUACCAGAUGUAUCUGUCCUGACUUCAAAUCCGACUUAAAGACGGACUCAGGAACAGAACUCAUUCAUAACCCAAGGACUACCUGUACUUUUAAAUCAUCUCUAGAUUACUUAUAAUACCUAAUACAAUGUAACUGCUAUGUAAACAGUUGUUAUACUGCAUUGUUUAGGGAAUAAUGACAAGAAAAAAUAGUCUGUACAUGCUCAAACAACAAAUGCUGGAGAGAGAACUUCUGGGUUUUCCUGAUCCGUGGUUGGUUGAAUCCGUGGAUAAGGAUGGCUGAUUGUAUUGCGAAGAAAGCACGACAGCGUCUCAGGAGUCCGUGGAGGUUUGACAUGUCAUCGAAAACCUUCGCAAACUUCUAUAGAUGUGAUGGAAAGUGUGCUGACUAGCUGUAUUAUGGCCUGGUAUGGGAACACCAAAACCUUUGAGCAGAAAUUCAGUGAUUCGGCCAGUACAUCACGGGUAAAGCCCUCCUAACCUUUGAGCACAUCUACAUGAAACGUUGCCGUAGAAAAUCAGCAUCAAUCAUCAAAGACCCUCACCUCCCAGGCCAUGCUCAUUUCUCACUGCUGCCAUCAGGCAGAAUGUACAAGUGACUCAGGACUCGUACCACAGGUUCAAGAACAGUUACUACUGCUCAACCAUCAGACUCUUGAGCAAAAGUGGAUAGCUGCGCUCAUUUAAGGACUCUGUUAUAUUGUUAUUUCAUGCUUGUUAUUUAUUGCUACUUACUUAUAUCUGCAGUUGCACAGUUUGUUUAUAGUUAACAGUUCCUGAUGUUUACGCAUUUCAGUCACUGUUCUAUAGGUUUGCUAAGUAUGCCCGAAGAAAAAGAAUCCCAGGGUUGUAUGUGGUGACAUGUAUGUACUCUGAUAAUAAAUUUUAA